AGGGAUAGCCUUUCGAAAGAAAGAUUAAUACCCGAUGGUAUGAUGAGAUUGCAUGAUAGCAUCAUUAAAGAUUUAUCGGUGUACGAUGGGGAUGCGUUCCAUUAGGUAGUAGGCGGGGUAACGGCCCACCUAGCCGACGAUGGAUAGGGGUUCUGAGAGGAAGGUCCCCCACAUUGGAACUGAGACACGGUCCAAACUCCUACGGGAGGCAGCAGUGAGGAAUAUUGGUCAAUGGACGAGAGUCUGAACCAGCCAAGUAGCGUGAAGGAUGAAGGUCCUACGGAUUGUAAACUUCUUUUAUAAGGGAAUAAAACCUCCCACGUGUGGGAGCUUGUAUGUACCUUAUGAAUAA
rnacentral:rRNA from 1 species